rnacentral:rRNA from 1 species
UACGGAGGGUGCAAGCGUUAUCCGGAUUUACUGGGUUUAAAGGGCGUGUAGGCGGGCUUUUAAGUCAGUGGUGAAAUCUCCGGGCUCAACCUGGAAACUGCCAUUGAUACUAUUAGUCUUGAAUUUUGUUGAGGUAGGCGGAAUAAGUCAUGUAGCGGUGAAAUGCAUAGAUAUGACUUAGAACACCAAUGGCGAAGGCAGCUUGCUAAACAAAUAUUGACGCUGAGGCACGAAAGCGUGGGGAUCAAACAGG